GGGUUAGUAGGUUGGUCAUGCCUCUGGUAUGUACUGGUCUCACUGAUUCCUCCUUCCUGAUGAACCUUAAUGCCAUUAAUUUGGUGUUUUGGGGAAUUUGGAUCGUUUACUUUGAGGAAAUUAGAGUGUUUAAAGCAAGCUAACGCUUGAAUACAUUAGCAUGGAAUAAUGAAAUAGGACGUUCGAUCCUAUUUUGUUGGUUUCUAGGAUUGACGUA
rnacentral:rRNA from 1 species